GCUCCUUCCAAGUGUAUUUAUAAAUGCUAAAUGGCCCGGGAAAGUGCUGAGAGAUUUCUCAAGCUCAGAUCCUCAUUUUCUCUUGUGCGGUCAGCCCUGGGACAGCUCUGGAAAACAAGGCAGCCAUUUUCUCAUCAGCUGUUACACUCUGCAAACCAGAUUGAAGCGCUCGAUAAGCUGCUGUUCUCUUCCGUGCCUGCAGCCACCGGAGGGGAAAAACAACCCAUCACCCACCAACAGGUACAACCACAGCCAUUGCUGUACUUGCCUGGUAUGAGUCAGGGCACAGAUGGGGCCAGGGGAGGGGAGGGAUGGGGUGGCUGGGAUGCAAACACAUCCCUAAGCACGGCCAGCGCCUGUCCUACCUCAGCUGCUGAUCCCACCCGUCAUCCCACAUUACAGACCCUGGUUUGCAUUUCCAAAAAUUAACUGUCUCUGUUAAAAAAUACUUUGCUUUUGCAGAACCUGUGGGUCUAAGAUACCGCAUCGUGCACGCUGUGAAAAUGCCUCCAAAACUUGGGAUCAGCAUGGGAAGAAAGUGUGUUUAAUGUGCAGUCAGCAGUCACAGACACACACACAGAUGGCCUUCAAAAGCAAGUACAACACAGAACAAUGAAGAGAUGAGUUCAUUAGCUGUACUGCAAAAGAAGUAAUCCCAUAUAACAUGCAUUAGUAGUGAAAAGUUGCAAGGGCUUGUGUAAAAUACACUGCUAUACUGUUGACUGAAUGGCAGUAGUCAAAACAUGGAGGAUCAAGUGUUGCAGUCCUCUUAGACAGACAUUAUGGAACCUGCGCAAGGUAUUUAAUUUGAUCUCUUUGUUCAAGUCAGUGGCAUUUGCCUUCAUUCACAUUCGGCAAGUUAUUCAUCUAAAAAAGCUACAAUUCUUUCAUGUCUUCUUUCCUCCCAAACUCCAUUUGUUCUUCUGUAGAAUUAUUGCCAUUAAUAAAAUGUUGUGUUUAGACGAGCUGUGAUACUGCCAGCCAGUUUUAUUGCAGA